UCAGUAGCAUGUAUUUUAAUCCAACAAUAUCAAGUUGUUGUCUACAACACAUUUCAACUGUUACCAUUAAAAUUUAUAUUCGGCAGAAAGAGUUAUAUUAAAUAAAUCCAACAUAUUAUUUAAUUCACAAAACUGGAAUAAAAGUAUAAUUUUCGCCGUCCGUUGGAAUAACAUAAAAAAUUUAUACUACAAUAACUAUCACACACACAGCUAGAACUACUGCGAAUUAACAAUCUCAAAUAAAUUUAUUUACUUGAAAACGCAAAAAAAAAAGAAAAAAAACUUAACUACCCACAAAAACACAGAUGUUUACUUUAUAAUAUUACACAUCAUUUCUUCAGACGCUAGGAUUACAGAUUUACAGUUGCUUCAAAAAUUACAAAGAAAACGACUAAAGUGUUUAUGAAUGAACUCGGAAAAAAAUUCUGUUGUACGAAAAACUACCAGCUACAAUCCAACGGUGAGUAAAAAAAAGGAGUAAAUAUCUAAGUAAACAUGAGUGCGAAACGUGUCCUACAAAAUUCAAAAAUACAAAGGGAGUGCUAUGGAAGAAUAGGGACACGUGGAAACAUCUGAAUAUGGGAGUGGUAUUUCAAAAAAACAGUCAAAAUGGGUUGGGUGGUAUUUGACAAUUGCAACUCGAACCGGUCGAAGAAAACCAAACCAAAAGUCACUUUAUUAACAAUACACGUGUAAGGAUCCUAACGGCAAUGUGUAUUACACAUUGUGUAGCUAAGACAUUUC
rnacentral:lncRNA from 1 species